GACGAACGCUGGCGGCGUGCUUAACACAUGCAAGUCGAACGGAAAGGCCCUGCUUUUGUGGGGUGCUCGAGUGGCGAACGGGUGAGUAACACGUGAGUAACCUGCCCUUGACUUUGGGAUAACUUCAGGAAACUGGGGCUAAUACCGGAUAGGAGCUCCUGCUGCAUGGUGGGUGUUGGAAAGUUUCGGCGGUUGGGGAUGGACUCGCGGCUUAUCAGCUUGUUGGUGGGGUAGUGGCUUACCAAGGCUUUGACGGGUAGCCGGCCUGAGAGGGUGACCGGCCACAUUGGGACUGAGAUACGGACCAGACUCCAACGGGAGGCAGCAGGGGAGAAUAUUGCACAAUGGGCGGAAGCCUGAUGCAGCAACGCCGCGUGCGGGAUGACGGCCUUCGGGUUGUAAACCGCUUUCGCCUGUGACGAAGCGUGAGUGACGGUAAUGGGUAAAGAAGCACCGGCUAACUACGUG
rnacentral:rRNA from 1 species